UGACGCGAAUUCCUGAGUCUCGGGUCAUUUUCGACCCGGUAUUAAUUUGAGUCUGGUGGUAAUUCUUUUGUAUCAAAAUGAAGUCUCGGGUCAGUCAUGAGUACGUGGGCCACCUCGCUCUCGUUGCGCAUCCGGCAUCUCUUGUCAAGUUGCGAGGCACUGUGCUGUGCAUUUUCAUCGUAGUUCUAGUUUCGUCAUUCUCAGCGCGCAUGUGGGCAUUUCACUCUAAACCUCUAAAUGAAAGUUUAAUAUUUCCCUAAUUAUGCAAUGGUAUGACAAUUUAAUUGAGUUUUGAUGUAUUUACAAUAUACUUCGUAUAUGCAAAAUUGCAAAUUGUUAUGUCAAAUCGCUCUUCCCUUUUCAGUUGAUUGUAAUGGGUAAUUGGGUAUGCAGGUAUGUUUAUGCACCACAUUAGAACAACAAUUCUUUGAUAAAACCCAAUUAGGGCUACGCUGUUGUUGGCAGCUGCUUAUCUUAAAUUGAAUUGAUAAUAAUUGAGUAUUUCUGCUUAAUUUUUGUGGGACUUAGUCUUCACAUUUAAAGUGGUGGUAGGGUUUUUGUAGGAUUUGUAGUUGUCUGAUCUUGUAAAUGUCCCGGGUUUAUUGAUGGAAUAACCAAUAAAUGGAGUUAUUUCUGCUUAGUUUUUUUAAGGGAAUUAAGCCGUGAUUAUGUAAGUCAUCAAGUUUUCUUUAUCUUUUGCCUUUUUUGUGUUUGUUUUGUUGAUAACUUUUCGUGAAUUUUAUUUAUUUGAUUUGAUGGUAGCGAAUUUUAAAAUGGUUUUCCAGACGUAUAUUUUGUCAACUUUUUCUUUACAAUUCAAUUUGCGAUUUUGUUUGGAUAUUAAGAAGACAAUGAUUUAUUUUACUACUUUAUGUGUUCUCUUUAGUUACAAACACAAUAAGUUCUCUUAGCAAAUUAUUGAUUCAUUGAUUUAGUUUCCGCAUUUCGCAUGUCCUCUUUCUGAGCUGCAUACAUACUCCUACCUUCUUAUAAGAUCAAUGUAUGCUGUAUUAUGAAAAAAAUUGAGAUUUUCCUCAUCGUGAUACAUAUUCUAAGGAAUUAUGGCAGCAUUGGCUUGAGGGCUGGGCAGGUGUUAGCACGAUUGGGAAUUUUGGGGUUGCUUUCUACUCAGCAAGGUAUCUUGAAAACGACAUUUUGAUGAUUGCCGAGCACAAUGGCGACGGGCAGUAUAUUUAGGAGGCCAAAGCUCUUGGUUCCUUCAAUGCCACAAGGGGCACCAGUGGUGAACAAGUUCGAAGGGACUGAAGUUGCAAGUUGCUCUGUGCUCAGACAGUUUUUUUGCUAGGCAUUGAAGCAAGAUAUUUUAACUUUGGCCCUCCUAUUUUAUUGGAUAUUGGUGCAUCGAGAAGGCUAAGAAAGCUUCCAGGUAUAGGCAUGGGAUAUACAUCCCUACAAGAAAAGGAGAGAGAGCAAGAUUUUGGGUGUUUCCCUUGUGUUAUUGAAGGAGCCGGAACCUUGUCCUGAUGAUGAAGUGCAGACUGCAGAAUGAAUAUGAUUGAGCAUGGAUUCAGUAAAUUUCUUUAACUUUUUAUAUUUCGACGUCAAAUUGUACCCGUAAUAAAAUGACAAUACGAAGUACGUAGUAUUACAGACAGUUUUUUCAUUUAAGUUUUUUCAUUUGAGUAUUAUUAGCAGUUGAUCUGUAAAACUAACUGUUUCUGUGGUCCUAAAAGGUUUCUUCAAUCUUAA